rnacentral:rRNA from 1 species
GGUGCCUAUACUGCAAGUCGAGCGAACAGACGAGGAGCUUGCUCCUUUGACGUUAGCGGCGGACGGGUGAGUAACACGUGGGUAACCUACCUAUAAGACUGGGAUAACUUCCGGAAACCGGAGCUAAUACCGGAUAAUAUUUCGAACCGCAUGGUUCGAUAGUGAAAGAUGGCUCUCCCUAUCACUUAUACCUGGACCUGCGCCGUAUUAGCUAGUUGGUAAGGUAACGGCUUACCAAGGCAACGAUACGUAGCCGACCUGAGAGGGUGAUCGGCCACACUGGAACUGAGACACGGUCCAGACUCCUACGGGAGGCAGCAGUAGGGAAUCUUCCGCAAUGGGCGAAAGCCUGACGGUGCACGCCGCGUGAGUGAUGAAGGUCUUCGGAUCGUAAAACUCUGUUAUUAGGGAAGAACAAACGUGUAAGUAACUGUGCACGUCUUGACGGUACCUAAUCAGAAAGCCACGGCUAACUACGUGCCAGCAGCCGCGGUAAUACGUAGGUGGCAAGCGUUAUCCGGAAUUAUUGGGCGUAAAGCGCGCGUAGGCGGUUUUUUAAGUCUGAUGUGAAAGCCCACGGCUCAACCGUGGAGGGUCAUUGGAAACUGGAAAACUUGAGUGCAGAAGAGGAAAGUGGAAUUCCAUGUGUAGCGGUGAAAUGCGCAGAGAUAUGGAGGAACACCAGUGGCGAAGGCGACUUUCUGGUCUGUAACUGACGCUGAUGUGCGAAAGCGUGGGGAUCAAACAGGAUUAGAUACCCUGGUAGUCCACGCCGUAAACGAUGAGUGCUAAGUGUUAGGGGGUUUCCGCCCCUUAGUGCUGCAGCUAACGCAUUAAGCACUCCGCCUGGGGAGUACGACCGCAAGGUUGAAACUCAAAGGAAUUGACGGGGACCCGCACAAGCGUUGGAGCAUGUGGUUUUAAUUCCAAA